rnacentral:rRNA from 1 species
AUGGAGCUCAACGUUCAGCUUCGUGCCUCUAAUGGUGACCCUCUUCCUAAUCCCACUCGCUAUCGCCACCUCGUUGGCAGUCUUGUCUAUCUUGCUGUUACGCGUCCUGACAUCUCCUAUCCUGUCCACAUCCUGAGUCAGUUUGUUUUCGCCCCCAUCUCUGUCCACUAUAAUCACCUCCUCCGUGUUCUACGAUAUCUUCGUGGCACGAUCUCUCAGCGCCCUUUUUCCCCCGCUCCAGCUCUCUUGAGCUCUAGGCCUACUCUGAUGCUACCUGGACUAGUGAUCCCUCUGAUCGACGAUCGUUGUCUGCUUACUGUGUCUUUCUUGGUGGCUCUCUUGUUGCCUGGAAGACAAAGAAGCAGACUACAGUUUCUCGCUCGAGUACAGAGGCUGAGUUGCGAGCCAUGGCUAUGUUGA